rnacentral:rRNA from 1 species
AUGAUAGCGGGCGAUUUCAAUGAAAAUUUGUAUUCCCAUGAAAAAGAAGGUGGAGCACCAAGGCCAAAUUACAUGAUGCAGAACUUUAGAGAUGCUCUAGUUGACUGUGAGGUGGAGGAUAUGGGUUGUAGCGGUGAUCUGUACACCUGGAUAAGGAGGAGACUCAGGGAGCGGCUGGACCGAUCGGUAUGCAAUGGGCAGUUUCAUGGACUAUUCCCAAAUACAAAGGUCAUAAACACUGCUCAUAUAAAGUUGGAUCACAUACCACUUUUCAUCAAUACCGAG